rnacentral:rRNA from 1 species
GACGAACGCUGGCGGCGUGCUUAACACAUGCAAGUCGAGCGGAAAGGCCCUUCGGGGUACUCGAGCGGCGAACGGGUGAGUAACACGUGAGUAACCUGCCCCAGACUUUGGGAUAACCCUCGGAAACGGGGGCUAAUACCGGAUACGACACAGCUUCGCAUGGGGUUUGUGUGGAAAGUUUUUCGGCUUGGGAUGGGCUCGCGGCCUAUCAGCUUGUUGGUGGGGUGAUGGCCUACCAAGGCGACGACGGGUAGCCGGCCUGAGAGGGCGACCGGCCACACUGGGACUGAGACACGGCCCAGACUCCUACGGGAGGCAGCAGUGGGGAAUAUUGCACAAUGGGCGGAAGCCUGAUGCAGCGACGCCGCGUGAGGGAUGACGGCCUUCGGGUUGUAAACCUCUUUCAGCAGGGACGAAGCGUAAGUGACGGUACCUGCAGAAGAAGCGCCGGCCAACUACGUG